AGAGGAAGUAAAAGUCGUAACAAGGUUUCCGUAGGUGAACCUGCGGAAGGAUCAUUAUCGAAAUCGAAAGCCUAGGAGAAGGGGGGGACGCGAGACUGUCGCUGGCCUUUUCGGCACGUGCACGUGUCCGUCCCUCCCGCCUUCGAAGCUUUGAACCUCUCGACACCUGUGUGCACCCGCCGUAGGUCCUUCGGGAUCUAUGUCUUCUCUUCCGAACUCGCAUGUCUACAGAAUGUAUGCGUCGCGCAGGCGACUGCGAACCUUUGUACAACUUUCAGCAAUGGAUCUCUUGGCUCUCGCAUCGAUGAAGAACGCAGCGAAUCGCGAUAAGUAAUGUGAAUUGCAGAUUUUCCGUGAAUCAUCGAAUCUUUGAACGCACCUUGCGCUCCUCGGUAUUCCGAGGAGCAUGCCUGUUUGAGUGUCAUCGAAAUCUCGAACCGAAGUCUUUCGACCUCGGUCUCGGACAUUGGGAGCGUGCGGGCGGCGACGUCGGCUCUCCUCAAAAGCAUUAGCUGUGGGCGUGGGCCUCGCACGGCACGGCCGCUUCGACGUCAUAAUGAUCGUCGUGGGCUGGAAGUGCGUGGGUCGACGUGUCCCCAUGCUUCGAAACCUCCUGCGAGUCCGUCCUUUGUCCGGACGGUCGCGCGCACGAUCGAUGCUUGACCUCAAAUCAGGUAGGACUACCCGCUGAACUUAAGCAUAUCA
rnacentral:rRNA from 1 species